UCCGACUUAACGUCGGCAGUCCCAAUAGAGUGCCCAACUGAAUGCUGGCAACUAUUGGCAAGGGUUGCGCUCGUUGCGGGACUUAACCCAACAUCUCACGACACGAGCUGACGACAGCCAUGCAGCACCUGUACAGCGGCCCGAAGGCUACGGCAUCUCUGCCGUAUUCCACUGUAUGUCAAACCCAGGUAAGGUUUUUCGCGUUGCAUCGAAUUGAACCACAUGCUCCACUGCUUGUGCGGGCCCCCGUCAAUUUCUUUGAGUUUUAAUCUUGCGACCGUACUCCCCAGGCGAGAUACUUAACGCGUUAGCUUCGGCACUGAUGGGGUCAAUACCACCAACACCAAGUAUCCAUCGUUUACGGCGUGGACUAC
rnacentral:misc_RNA from 1 species